UCAUAUGCUUGUCUCAAAGAUUAAGCCAUGCAUGUCUAAGUCCAAGCUGUGUUCACACGGCGAGACCGCGGACGGCUCAUUAAAUCAGUCGUGGUCCAAAUGGGCCAGUGCAAAUCCUACUUGGAUAACUGUGGUAAUUCCAGAGCUAAUACAUGCAACUGAUAUCCCGAAGGCGGUGUUUGGGCUUGCUUGCCUUGCGCUGCGCUGCUCUGACGGAUGCUUUUAUUAGACCAAGCCGCUGAGGACUUGAGGGUUCGCGCUCUCUUGUCUGACUCGUGUGAUGGUGACUCUGGAUAACCAAAUUCUGACAAGCGCACGUACUUCUCUUCUGAGCGAGACGGCGCUGCCACUUUCGAGUGUCUGCCUUAUCAGCUAUCAACCGUUCGUUAUGCGCGACCGAUGGCUUUGACGGGUAACGGGGAAUCAGGGUUCGAUUCCGGAGAGGCAGCCUGAGAGACGGCUACCACGUCCAAGGACGGCAGCAGGCACGCAAAUUACCCAAUCCCAGCAAAUGGGGGAGGUAGUGACGAAAUCUAACGAUGCGGGCGCCCUUUCUGGGGCCCCGCAAUCGGAAUGGGCACUUUCUAAACAACCUGUUGAGAACCUAC
rnacentral:rRNA from 1 species